AUCACCAAAGUUAAACAAAGUUGACCCUGAUCAGUACUUAGAUGGGUGACCACUUGGGAAUACCAUGUGCUGCAAG